CUUUUCAGUAAUUGGAUUUUUUUCUUCCAACGAGAAAACGAUCCAGUGACAUAAACAACUUCACCGCCUCCUCUCCAUCGAAUAAUGGUUGGCACACAAGGACCUAUAUGUGUAAGUAAUUAAAUUGUCAAUUGCAAAAAAUCUCCUUUCUGAAAACUAUUGCAAACAAACGUUAAGGUCAACAGCUUAAAUGAUAAUGCAAUGUUACGGUAAAUCACCCUUGUUACAUAAGGAUGUCAAGCAAUCAAAUAAACCGGUCUUAAAGAAACUUACCAGAAUAAGGCUGAUGUGUCUUCUUGCCUGAAGUUUGAGAACGGCGUUUCGUAUGACCACUCGAUCCUGAAGUUCCGUUUUGGGAAGUACGAUUAUUACCGCCUUCCUGCUGAUUAUCAUCCGACAUUUCACCUUCUUGAUUCAAAUCAUCUGCAGCAAUACUAAUCAUGCUUUGGGCACGUGGUUCUUUUGGAACGUUAUUUGCAUUGUCAGGCGUUGUUGUGGCAUCUUGAGAAGGGACAGCAUGUGCGCGAGUCUCUCCUAACAUUAAAUUAGAUACUUAUUUCACAUGUGUUUAACUUAAAGGACAUUACCCUCCUGAGAUUGAACAUUUCCCAUUUUGAAAUGAUGUAAAGUAGUUUGUUCUGGCUUUGUAGCUCAUCACUUUGAACUAAACCCCAACGAGCAUGAAAUAAGGUUAUUUAUUGUAUCUAAGCUAUCAUUAAAUAGUGGAAGCUAAAGUGCAGCGUUAUUCACAGUUAAACGCUUCGUACUGUUUUGCAGCUUUAUCAAAGAAAACAUUAAUUGAAAAUCCAUUUAUUAUAAAGAAUAAAUAUCUAAAAGCUGUAUGAUAAAAGCUGAAAAAUUUAAUAUUGCAUUUGGGACGUAUAAUACAGUUCUACAACAGCUAUGUAUAAUCUUUUGAAGGUAAAAAGCAGCAUGCUUCUCAUUCUUAAUGGAAAUGUUUAAAAAAUUAUUGAAGCUACAUAUGAAACGAUAUAGAAAAAUUUUAAACUACUCUGUGCAUUGAGAGGCCUUCAAGUUAAUUAUACACUAAAAGCGGUUCACUUAUAAUUAUUGUAACUUAGCGAGGCUUUAAUUGAGUUAAACUUCCAUAACCGAAAGGCCUGCAUAUUAUAUGUUUAUAAAUUAAUGAAUACCUUGUACAUUACGCUCGUAUAGCUUCAUCUUUUUUAACUACGUUCUAGUAUAACAAUAUAUAAGUAUGGCGCAAAAACUUCUUUCGUAAAAAAGACGCUUCUAUUUCUCAGACGAAAUCACUCAAAUUAAGUUACGAACUUAAAAAAAGCCUGAAUUUCUAGAUAUCAAAUGCUCUAUUUCCGUCAAUUUUUCAUGUCUACUUAUUAUGCUGCGAAAUAAGCGAACUAAAAUCACUGCAUUGCAAAAACAAGAACAGUGUUUUCAAUGAACGUACUGAUUAAAUACAUUCCAUAUGAAACGAAGAAUAUAUUAUUUUUUAGUUAAAUGACGACUUUACCAAACCAAACGUGAAUUUUUGUUGCGAUGAAUCCU